rnacentral:rRNA from 1 species
CCUACGGGAGGCUGCGUGAUACGUACCUCCAGGUAUAAUCCUACUAAAAACGAGGAAGACCUCGGCAGAGUGGUCGAUGCGCUGAUAGAGCUGAGUGUCACUCAUCUUAUAACUAUAGGCGGUGACGAUACGGCCUAUACGGCUUCAUGUGUUGCUGAUUACGCCAUGAACAAGCGCGGACUCACGAUAAGCUUCGUACAUAUACCAAAAACAAUCGAUAAUGACCUGCCCCUGCCUGAAGGUAUCCCGACAUUUGGCUUUGAGACGGCAAGGUCGUUGGGUACACAACUCGUAUCCAACCUGAUGGAAGAUGCCAAGACCACCGGGCGCUGGUUCAUAGCAGUCGCUAUGGGAAGAACUGCCGGUCACCUUGCCCUCGGAAUGGGUAAGAGCGCGGGGGCCACAGUCACCGUAAUACCCGAGUAGUC